AUCCAGAUGACGUUUCCCAAAUGGGACGAAAUGCGCAUCCUGGAU
rnacentral:hammerhead_ribozyme from 1 species